CCACACUGGGACUGAGACACGGCCCCAGACUCCUACGGGAGGCAGCAGUAGGGAAUCUUCCGCAAUGGACGAAAGUCUGACGGAGCAACGCCGCGUGAGUGAUGAAGGCUUUCGGGUCGUAAAACUCUGUUGUUAGGGAAGAACAAGUGCUAGUUGAAUAAGCUGGCACCUUGACGGUACCUAACCAGAAAGCCACGGCUAACUACGUGCCAGCAGCCGCGGUAAUACGUAGGUGGCAAGCGUUAUCCGGAAUUAUUGGGCGUAAAGCGCGCGCAGGUGGUUUCUUAAGUCUGAUGUGAAAGCCCACGGCUCAACCGUGGAGGGUCAUUGGAAACUGGGAGACUUGAGUGCAGAAGAGGAAAGCGGAAUCCCAUGUGUAGCGGUGAAAUGCGUAGAGAUAUGGAGGAACACCAGUGGCGAAGGCGACUUUCUGGUCUGUAACUGACACUGAGGCGCGAAAGCGUGGGGAGCAAACAGGAUUAGAUACCCUGGUAGUCCACGCCGUAAACGAUGAGUGCUAAGUGUUAGAGGGUUUCCGCCCUUUAGUGCUGAAGUUAACGCAUUAAGCACUCCGCCUG
rnacentral:rRNA from 1 species